UUAUAUUAAAGCAUAGAGGACAUAUUUGUGUGUUAUGGAGAACAUUUCUACAAUUGCUAAUUUUCCUAAGAAUAAAAUCAAUAAAUGAGCUAAACAGUGUUUACAGAUCGUUCACGUAAGCUUGAGUUCCGGUGCUUUUGUUCCCUCUGAAGCUGCGACAGCUAUGCGCAUUAAAUAAUCGCCUGUACCAUGUGACCUCAUUCAAUGUUUGUAAACACGCGUCAAGCACAUGUGAUCCAGAAGUGUUUAGGAACGUGUAAAGCGCGGUGGCCAAUCAGUCGCCGGGGGAGUGUCUGGGGGCGGGGCUUGAAUAUUUCGCCCUGGAAAAAUCGAUAGGGAUCUUGUAAUGAUGCGAGGAGACUACGUCUAAAGAAAGGAAAGUGAGGAGUUAGGUCAGAACAAGUGAAGAGUGCAGGCAUCCGUGGAAUGCAGAUUAUUUAGAAGAAAUAUUAUAUUGGAAAGCAAUCGGUUUGAAUGUACCCACAGCCUCGAUAAAGAUGCCUUUCCCUUUAAGAGCUGGAUCAGCAUUGCACAAGCUGUCAGGUGCACAGAAGCAGCAAACCAAGAAUAAACUGAUGUUAGAGUGAAACAAGAAACUUGUAAACAAAUAUUCUCCCCUCCCUCUUGGUCACUCCCUGUACUUUUCUUUUGUAUUUAUUCUAUUGACUCAGGUCUACAGUAGCUAGGUCUAUACCUCUACUCUCGUAUAUACGCAGCAGUGGCAAGGAAAACAAAAACGAAACUAUGGAUCAGUACAAACUGUACUGACAGAAUGGGGUUUAAAUGUAUGCACUGUAGCAUAUUUAAUAUUUGCCUGUUUUGAACUGUGUUUUUCCAGUGCCAUCUCCUCUUGUGCUGCUCCUAGAAGCUGAAUUCAGAUGGUGCCAUAGAGUACUUUAUGGCAUCUAGCACCAUUUGAAAUCAGUGUUCUUGGGUCGGUCUUGACAUCACAUGGGACACCUAAAUGGUGUUGACUGCAGUGUUUGUGAUCAAUGUCUUUGCAUGUCUGAUUUGCACAAGUUUCAUGAAUGAAAUAAAACAAAUUUAUUCUUAUGC